AUGGGGAAAUACUCCGUUCUCUCAGCUCACUGCAGUUUCAGGGGCUCCAGAUGCACCCCUUAGCUUCUAGGAAGAAAACAGCCAAAAAGAAUGUUUGCUCACAAGGGGAGCCCGCAGCCUGGGUGAGACCGCAACAGACAAUGAGUAGUUUUCUGAUGGUAAGUUAGUGUCUGAAGAAAACCAAAGAGCAAAUAAGACAGGAUAGCUGGGGCAAUGGUGAGCAAGGAGGGGCCCUUUGGAGAGGUGACACUUCAGCUGAGACCCGCAUGGUAAGAUGGAGGAGGACUGGACAGCAGAAAUGUCCCGAGGAGACAUGGAGAAGUCCACAGCAGACACACACCGUGGAGAGGAGAGGGAGAAUGACUCGGCACUGCCAGAAGAGGCCGGAUCACAGUGGACACAGAAGCCAGGGAAGGAGGCUAGAGGCCACUCUGGGCACACAGGAAAGCCAGACCGAGCUUUGAGCGAGAGGGGUGUGGUCCAAUGUGUGUGUUGAAAAGAUCAUCUGGGGCAGAAGGCAAAGCCCACACUGGGUGAGCCCCAUUUCCUGCGCCAAUGGAGUCUCCAAUCAGUUCUGGAGGAGAGUCGGGAACUAAAACACGAGCUCAUGGCUGUCAGAAGUUUACGAGCUUCUUAACUUCCCAGCUGGGCUGCUCUGGAAGGCCUAAGCAUCUGCGGCUCUGUCCUGGGAGAACGUGGCAAUAAGGUUUAUAAAUGCCGUGCUCAGCAUGCGAGACCCAGCCGGUGUUAGGAAAUAAUUCUGCAGGAAAGAAAUAGGCCACACGGCUAACCGGGUAGCUACCUUAAAAAGUGGAUGCAAGUCUCACCUACAGCCUCUCCCUGAGUCACAGCUCUGUGAAAUUUGGACCAGAGGAAACCCCCACUCGUUUGGAUCCUGCUGAUGAACCUCCUCCAUUUUGUCCUCAACACCCACCUUCUUCUCCUGCCCCUUCUCCUCCCCCAGCUUCCUCCUCUCCAGCAGUGGGCCACUCCGGCCGCCCAAGUCUUGCACCUACCUCCCCCCCCCAUUACCCACUCUCGUGUCCCUAUGUGCCCCCAACCUACCAAAGUCGAUUCGGCUACAGUUCUCUCCUCGAGAGAAGCGGCCAGCGUGGAUGGUCUGGUUAAAGUCCAUGUCCCCUUCUCACUACCAGAACUUUCUCAGAUAGAAAAGACACUGGGUUCCUAUAUCUCUAACUCUACUGCUUUCAUAAAAGAGUUUCAGUAGAUCACUCAAUCUUACACCCUCGCCUUUCAUGGCAUAUUCAUGGCUUUGACCAACAACCUACUACCUGAGGAACACAGACGAGUUUGGGGGCAGACCGGAGCCCAUGCAGACGUAAUUCACCAGACGGAUGCAGCAGAGGCUAUCCCGGAUCCGGAGCCCCAUCAGGAUUACAAUACCCCAGGGGGCAUUCUAGCUAGAGAUCAGUUUACAACCUGCCUCAUGACUGGUCUCCUAAGGCUUCCCUCGCCCAGUGAACUAUGAUAAACUUCUGGAGAUAGUUCGGGACAAACAGGAAAAUCCCUCUCAGUUCCUAAAACACCUUACAAAAGCCUUCUUACAGUAUAUUAUCCUAGACCUGAGAACCCAGGGAGUACAACUCCUUAGGACACUUUUUCCCCAGAGCUCCCCUGACAUUAGGGUUAAGCUUAGGCGUCUGGAGAGAGGACCUCUAACCCCACAGGCAGAAGUCUUGAGGGUGGUGGCUUUUAACGUAUACCAUGAGAGAGACCAGAUGCUGGCCAAGGCCGUCCGUCCAGCCUGAGUCUGCUCGGGAUCCCUCGCCCUCUGAGGCUCGGACCACAGCGUCCAUGUUAUAAAUGUGGUCAGGAUGGGCACUGGGCUCCAGCUUGCCCUAGUCCCCACGCGUCACUCAAACCGUGUCCAAAAUGCCAGGAAAUGGUCACUGGUCAGGAGGGGCGCAGGGACAUCAGACACAGAACGCCCUCUAGCCAGCUCCCCAGCCCUGGUCAUGGAUGAAGGGGCCCGGGCUCUCUGUCAUCUCUGACAGGGAGACCCGGCUGGACAUCAAGGUAUCAGGGUGAUCCAUCUCCUUCCUCUUGGACUCUGGUGCUACAUAUUCAGUCCUGAGGGAGUUUUGAGGACCCAUCUCUCCUUCUCAUAUGCCUAAUGUUGGGGUAGGGAGACAGCCUUACCUACCUCAUCAGACCCCGCCACUCAAUUGCAUUUUCAGGGGAACUCCCCUCACUCAGUCAUUUCUGGUUAUAUCUACCUGUCCUGUGCCCUUACUGAGAGGGGAUCUUUUAGCCAAAGUGUAAGGAGCAUGUAAACAGAUAGGCAGAAGCCCCGCUGGAAGGAGAUUAGUAAACAAAGGCCCGACUACUAGAGAUAAGAAUGAAGGUGUGUGUGUGUGUGUGUGUGUGUGUGCGUGCGCGCGCGUGUGUGUGUGUGUGUGUGUGUGUGUGUGUGUGUGUGUGGCCGAGUGUGAUAAGCAAGGUUUUUAAGGACCAGCUCAGGACUGAGAAGAGAGCCCACUGUGACUGACUGAAUGGACACGUCCUGGAUGGAGCUCUCCUCCUCCUGAGAAGUGAGUCCCCUAAACUGAGAACUGCCCGUUCUGAUACCAGACCGGAGACCUCAGUGGACUCGCUGCUUGAAUCCAGAGGAAUCUUGAGACGUCGUGAGCCGUGGCCCUGCACCAGACAGGUAACCUGGUUGUGAGCCUAGGGGCUAUGGCGCCUAGGACAUUGCUUCUGCUUGUGUGUAUUGCUCUGAUACAAGUGUGAGGUAAAAUAUAUCCUCAAAACCAA